GUGCGGGUGGUGCGGCCGUGAACGAAGGGUUUCGAAUGCCCGUCGCGUCGUGGGUUCCGGCUCUCGCUCCGCUCGCC
rnacentral:tRNA from 1 species